GGUGAGAUGAGGAGAAGGCAGCAGAGGGACUGUAUGAAGAUUAUGCUGAGGAACUGGGAACAGAAGAGGUGACAUUGUAGCCAAGAGGAGGAAAACAGUACAGAAGACAAAGAGCGGCCAAGACGUAUCAGGAAUUUGAAAAAGAAGAAGAUACCAAAUUCUUCCAUUACCAUGGGUCAACAUGGGAUUUUCUGCUCUGUGUUCCCUUGGAGCCCUGGAGAUCAGCAUUCAGAGACACCUGCAUGGGUCUGCAUGGAGCUGGAUGAGGUCCAGGCACAUUUGGAAGAUGUAGACUGCUGAGAAAGUGCUGAAGAAUCACAACUUCACUGCAUGGAGAGGUCCAAAGGUGCCUUGCAGGGACAUCAUCCAUCCAGAGGAUAGUUUUUAAAGCAUUCCCCACUUGAAGAUGAUGAGGAAGAAAAGGUUAAUAAAAGUAAUAGGGAUAUGAUGAGCUUUGCUUUAAGGUGUUCUAAAAGUUUCAUGGCUUUCCUUGGAGUACUGUAUAUUCACUGAAGGGGACAAGAAUGUUUAGACCUUAGACUGACAUUACAUCAUGUAGAAGCUUACACAGAUGUACAUAGAGGAUUAAAUAUUUCUAUAAAAAUUUUCAUCCAUUUGACAA